AUAGAGUCCAAGCCAACCGUCUCUUUCCAAGGGUUGAGCAGGACGUUACCUUGUAUCAGCCUGACCAUGGUCCCCAGCACAGCAGCAUGGCAAAAGCCCAGUGCAGUUUGAGGACCUCUUCUAAGCAGCUCACUGGAAGCCUGCCCCCACCUCCAAAUGGCCUGAAAGAAGGCAAGGCUGUGCCUGGGAAUGCACAUUCAUCAAGAAAGGCAUGCUGCUGUAGUGAUGAAGAAAGCGAUGAUCUAGACGGGAUCAGCAUGACUGGUGGCCGGCGGCCGUGGGCUAAGCAGAAGUGGGGAGGCUGUGGAGCUUGCUUGGGGCACAGGAUGAGAGUCACGAAUGGAAAAAACACCCGCUCUUCUGGAUCUCUCCGAGAACAGGGGGUAUACUGUGGAGCUACUGGCUGCACACGGCCUCUAGUGCUCACUGUCCCCAACCUAGGUGUUUCUGAACCCCACUCUUCACCCUAUGUGCAGUGACCAGCUUCUUGGUGAUCAGUAGCACUCACUUCUACCAUGCUUUCCCUUCUUGACUACCCAAUUGCUCUUCUCUCGAGACCCUACGACCCGCUGGGGCCUUGUAUCUAGGAAGAGGCAGUUGGUGGGUAGGACUGGAGUCCUCCUGGUGAGCUGUGUGCAUGGCAUCACGUAGAGCACAGAGCACUCCUGGGCCUCAGGUUUUUCUUACCUGUCCAAUGGGGAUAGGAUGAAACUGAAACAGGACCAAGCCAGACUGUGUGUGUGCAGCCCCAGAGCCAGUGGCUGCCCACACCUCAGGCAGUCCCUAGGCCUGGAUGUUGACUUCCCUUUCCUUUCUCUAGCUGUCCUUGUGGCAUCUGGUCAGGAAGGGGAUAGGACAGGUGGCAUGUGGGGCUGAUAUUGACUCUCUGCUCCUUCUCCAGCACCAUGUCUGCCUGCACGCUGCCAUGCUUCCUGCCAUGACAAUAAUGGAUAAACCUCUGAACUCUAAGCCAUCCCCAGUUAAAGGCUUUUCUGUCUAAGAGUUGUUGUGGCCAUGACAUCUAUUCACAAGUAAACCCUAAGAGAGUUGGUGUCUGUCUAGCAGAAGAGAGGGUUGACACGUGGCUGGGUAGGGCUAAGGGAAAGGUGGGGCCCUGAGAAGAAAAUGGAGUAGAAGCUUUGGUUUCUAAGACCUGGAGAGACCCCCAGGCAGUACAGGGGCUGCCUCAGGAUUUCUGGCCUUGGAGGACGAGCACCACCCCACAGCACAGACCCAGGCCUGGCGGUAAGUAGAGAAGCCUCUGAAGGGCUUGGGCCCUCUAGUCAGGUCUUCCUUGCUGACUUCCCAGAGGCACGUGCCAGACAGGUGGCCUUGGAAGCCUGGUAAGGCACAGAUCUGGGUGAAUAGGGAAAAUGGGAAAGGUAGAGGCAGCAGAGCAGGCUCUGAGCAGGCUGUCUCUGCAGGGAUCUGAGGGGAGAGUGAGGUCAUGCUGGGUCUCUCUCUGAUAAAGGCCUGGCUGAGAAGGCAGACAGUGUUAUCCCUGCCAGGUGAGGACAGCUGUUUCUCGGUUUCUCUGACCCAGUACCACAGGCUGUGGUCACCAGGGUUCAGGUGUGGAGGCGUCCCUGCUUUUCUCAGUGAGGACCCAAGAACUUCCCAGCCUUGAACAGAAGUCUCUCUGAAGUACUGCAGGGGAGCUAGUUGAAGGCGGAGAGGUGUUAGAUAAGCAAGCCUCAGCCUGUGAAAGAAGAGAGAGAAAAGGCUAGUCCCUCAUGGAAACCACCUUCAGAAACAUAUUCACUGUGG
ensembl:lncRNA